UACGUAGGGUGCAAGCGUUGUCCGGAAUUAUUGGGCGUAAAGAGCUCGUAGGCGGUCUGUCGCGUCUGGUGUGAAAAUCCAGGGCUUAACCCUGGACCUGCAUCGGGUACGGGCAGACUAGAGUGCGGUAGGGGAGAUCGGAAUUCCUGGUGUAGCGGUGAAAUGCGCAGAUAUCAGGAGGAACACCGGUGGCGAAGGCGGGUCUCUGGGCCGUAACUGACGCUGAGGAGCGAAAGCAUGGGGAGCGAACAGG
rnacentral:rRNA from 1 species